CCUACGGGGGGCUGCAGUAGGGAAUAUUGGACAAUGGAGGAAACUCUGAUCCAGCCAUGCCGCGUGAUAGAUGAAGGCCCUCUGGGUUGUAAAUAUCUUUUAUCUGGGAAGAAACUCCUCUAUUCUUAGAGGCCUGACGGUACCAGAGGAAUAAGCACCGGCUAACUCCGUGCCAGCAGCCGCGGUAAUACGGAGGGUGCAAGCGUUAUCCGGAUUCACUGGGUUUAAAGGGUGCGUAGGCGGCCUUAUAAGUCAGCGGUGAAAUUUUGCAGCUUAACUGUAACAGUGCCGUUGAUACUGUAGGGCUAGGAUUUGGUUGCUGUGGGUGGAAUGUGUGGUGUAGCGGUGAAAUGCUUAGAUAUCACACAGAAUAUCGAUUGCGAAGGCAGCUCACAAAGCCAAGAUUGACGCUGAGGCACGAAAGUGUGGGGAUCAAACAGGAUUAGAUACCCUAGUAGUC
rnacentral:rRNA from 1 species